GGGGGAUUAGCUCAGUUGGUAGAGCGCUUGCAUGGCAUGCAAGAGGUCAGCGGUUCGAAUCCGCUAUUCUCCA
rnacentral:tRNA from 1 species